CGAUUUUUCAACCUGUGUAUAAAAGUUCCGAACGUGUCGCGUUCGACUAUUCUUCUCUCGUCUGCUCUUCUGCAACGCCACGGACAGCUCUCAAUAUGUGGACGAAGAUUUUCGCUCUCCUCGCUCUACUUGGAUAUUUUUCAGUUGCAGUUGGAUACGAACGACGGGCCUAGCCGGCAGACUGCUCGAAAUUCGAGGAAUGUGAUCCAACUACCAACAAAUGCAAGCUGAGACAAUGCUAUCCCGGGACCGAAUACGAUCCAGCCUAUGAAACGUGCACGGUUCUGAUUACGCUUGAAGAAGAACGAUCUGACUGUAAAAGAUUGCCUAAAGAUGCAAGUUGGUAAUAGUACCAUCGAUGUUGAACAUUAACAAUAAAUAAACAUACGCAUUUA